rnacentral:misc_RNA from 1 species
GAUGAAGUACGUAGCGAAAUGCGAUACGUAAUGUGAAUUGCAAAUUCAGUGAAUCAUCGAGUCUUUGAACGCACAUUGCGCCCCCUGGUAUUCCGGGGGGCAUGCCUGUCCGAGCGUCAUUGCUGCCCUCAAGCACGGCUUGUGUGUUGGGCCCCGUCCUCCGAUCCCGGGGGACGGGCCCGAAAGGCAGCGGCGGCACCGCGUCCGGUCCUCGAGCGUAUGGGGCUUUGUCACCCGCUCUGUAGGCCCGGCCGGCGCUUGCCGAUCAACCCAAAUUUUUAUCCAGGUUGACCUCGGAUCAGGUAGGGAUACCCGCUGAACUUAAGCAUAUCAAUAAGCGGAGGA